rnacentral:rRNA from 1 species
CGGCUCUCGCAUCGAUGAAGAACGUAGCGAAAUGCGAUACUUGGUGUGAAUUGCAGAAUCCCGUGAACCAUCGAGUCUUUGAACGCAAGUUGCGCCCCAAGCCUUCUGGUCGAGGGCACGUCUGCCUGGGUGUCACAAAUCGUCGUCCCCCAUCCUCAUCCU